GUCUCGCUCAAGAACACAUGUUGCCUGGCCCCGUAAUUGAAUCGAUGAUCUAUCGAUCGUGAGUGCCGUACGCCAACCACUGGGCCACGUGCUGUAACGGUUGCAAUAUAGAUGCAACAAAUUGUAAGAAGCAGAGAGAGAAUUGUGCAGCUGCAACAAGCAAAGUAAGGUAGCACAACACCAGCGCAGAAAUGCAGAACAUUAUACAACAAAAAAGAAAACAACUGCAAAGUACGUUAUGUGUGCAGCUUCGGUGCAGUUUAUGUGCAGUAAUUAACGGUUGUUUCACUGUGUACGGUAUUUCACUGCUAAUGAUACGUCAUUUGACUGUGGCCAUGCUGGAGCAGUACCCUGAAGAAAUCAGUGCCAGUUCUUGAGUUUUUGUAAGCUUGGCACCUAUUCUAUUUGUCCAUUUUGCUAAGCAGUUAAGCUCUGUGGAAUUCCUGACAUAUAUCCAGUAGAAGGAACAUUCGAGACCUCUGGAGAUAUACUGUGACUGCGAAGACCCGGCAAAUAAAGUGAGUUCACAGCAGUAACCUACACCAGUGUCACAUAACCAGCCCCAGCCCAUUCAAAAGUACCUUGGAGAGACCUUGAGGAGACCUCUUGAGUCAAGUACAUCAAAAUCAAAUAGAAAUUGUAAUUGUGAUCCCUGUGCUGGUGGCAUGUAAACAGCACCAUUCAAACGUGGCCGAUGCCAGCACCAUUCAAACGUGGCCGAUGCCAGCACCGCCUUGACUGGCUUCCAUGCCAGUGGUACAUAAAAAGCACCAACCAAUCAUGAUCAGUGCCAGACUCCCCUGGCCCUUGUGCCAGUGGCACAUAAAAAGUACCCACUACAUUCUCUGAGUGGUUGGCGUUAGGAAGGGCAUCCAGCUAUAGAAACACUGCCAGAUCAGAUUGGGGCCUGGUGCAGCCUCCUGGCUUCCCAGACCCCAGUCGAACCGUCCAACCUAUGCCAGCUUGGAAAACGGACGUUAAACGAUGAUGAUGAUGAUGAUGAUGACUUGCCCAAGGUGCCAUGCAGUGGGACUGAACCCGGAACCAUGUGGUUGGGAAGUAAGCUUCUUACCACACAGCCACUCUUACACCUAUAUUUCUAUAUGGUUUCAGAAUAUGUUUGUUAAAACAUCUUCAUCCUAGAUUUAAAUAUUUAAA